UAGCGUGAGGAAGGCAGACCCAGGGAACUGAAACAUCUAAGUACCUGGAGGAAGAGAAAGAAAAAUCGAUUUCCUGAGUAGCGGCGAGCGAAACGGAAAGAGCCCAAACCAAGAAGCUUGCUUCUUGGGGUUGUAGGACACUCUAUACGGAGUUACAAAAGAAAGUUAUAAAUGAAGCGGUCUGGAAAGGCCCGCCAAAGACGGUAACAGCCCGGUAGUUGAAAUGGCUUUCCCUCCAGAGUGGAUCCUGAGUACGGCGGAACACGUGAAAUUCCGUCGGAAUCCGGGAGGACCAUCUCCCAAGGCUAAAUACUCCCUAGUGACCGAUAGUGAACCAGUACCGUGAGGGAAAGGUGAAAAGCACCCCGGAAGGGGAGUGAAACAGUUCCUGAAACCGUGU
rnacentral:rRNA from 1 species